rnacentral:rRNA from 1 species
GCCGGCAUGCCUUACACAUGCAAGUCGGACGGCAGCGCGGGGGCAACCCGGCGGCGAGUGGCGAACGGGUGAGUAAUACAUCGGAACGUGUCUGGAGUGGGGGAUAGCCCGGCGAAAGCCGGAUUAAUACCGCAUACGCUCUAUGGAGGAAAGCGGGGGAUCUUUCGGGACCUCGCGCUCAAGGGGCGGCCGAUGGCAGAUUAGCUAGUUGGUGGGGUAAAGGCCUACCAAGGCGACGAUCUGUAGCUGGUCUGAGAGGACGACCAGCCACACUGGGACUGAGACACGGCCCAGACUCCUACGGGAGGCAGCAGUGGGGAAUUUUGGACAAUGGGGGCAACCCUGAUCCAGCAAUGCCGCGUGUGUGAAGAAGGCCUUCGGGUUGUAAAGCACUUUUGUCCGGAAAGAAAACUUCGGGGUUAAUACCUCUGGAGGAUGACGGUACCGGAAGAAUAAGCACCGGCUAACUACGUGCCAGCAGCCGCGGUAAUACGUAGGGUGCGAGCGUUAAUCGGAAUUACUGGGCGUAAAGCGUGCGCAGGCGGUUCGCUAAGACCGAUGUGAAAUCCCCGGGCUUAACCUGGGAACUGCAUUGGUGACUGGCGGGCUAGAGUAUGGCAGAGGGGGGUAGAAUUCCACGUGUAGCAGUGAAAUGCGUAGAGAUGUGGAGGAAUACCGAUGGCGAAGGCAGCCCCCUGGGCCAAUACUGACGCUCAUGCACGAAAGCGUGGGGAGCAAACAGGAUUAGAUACCCUGGUAGUCCACGCCCUAAACGAUGUCAACUAGUUGUCGGGUCUUCAUUGACUUGGUAACGAAGCUAACGCGUGAAGUUGACCGCCUGGGGAGUACGGUCGCAAGAUUAAAACUCAAAGGAAUUGACGGGGACCCGCACAAGCGGUGGAUGAUGUGGAUUAAUUCGAUGCAACGCGAAAAACCUUACCUACCCUUGACAUGUACGGAACCUUGCUGAGAGGUGAGGGUGCCCGAAAGGGAGCCGUAA